GUUUGCAGCAUAUUCAACUUUGAACAUCUUUUUCAGGUCUACAAUCCAUAUAAAAAUCUGUAUAUAUGUGGUAUAAUUUCCAAUGAGACAGCUUUCCAGAGGUUAAAAUAACAAAUUAAUUAUAGGCAACCAUACAGCCUUAAAAAGUGAGAAAAAAAAAAACAGUCUAGACAUGUUAAGUAAGCAACAAUUAAAUUAAGAAAAGUAAUGGCCUGAUUUGCAACUUAUAAACAACAGGUUUGGAACCCUCCCCCCAAAAAAAAAAAUAAUCAAAGAGCAGAUUGCUCUGAGGGAUACGAUUGCCGUUGUUUCAUUGACACAUGUAUACAUGUAGCUGGAUAAUAUUAUUUUCAAAACUAAUUCAACUGCACAUGUAAAAUAGUUACAAAAUAGCCAAUCCCGGAUAAAAGUGUAUGAACAUUGUAAUUAGGCCUAUUGUGUUUUAUUUUUGUACUAUCAAUUCCAAGUUUACUUUCCACAGCAGUCACUGA
rnacentral:lncRNA from 1 species